GAUGUAUUCUGAGAUACAUCGGAAAACGGGACUCUUCUGCUGCUUUUUAUGCCAAACCAUAUAAUGAAAUUGUAAAUUAUGUUGAAGAUACCUAUAGUGGAUUAUUUAUAAAAAAAGAUGUUGAAAAUUCUUGGGAUUUUAUUUGCAUCUUAUGUCUUGGACUUCUACAACCAUCUACAUCACAUGCACUUAUUACAAAGAUAUGUGAUCUUGUCAAGUCAUCUGAUCAUGAAUUUUUCAAUUUCACCACAGCAAUCACAUAUCCUUUGGUGCUUACUUUUCGCCAUGUAAGCAUUCAUUGUGGAUGCAUCUGAAAGAAAAGCUCAG